rnacentral:rRNA from 6 species
AAUCCAUAGGUUAAUGAGGCGAACCGGGGGAACUGAAACAUCUAAGUACCCCGAGGAAAAGAAAUCAACCGAGAUUCCCCCAGUAGCGGCGAGCGAACGGGGAGGAGCCCAGAGCCUGAAUCAGCAUGUGUGUUAGUGGAAGCGUCUGGAAAGGCGCGCGAUACAGGGUGACAGCCCCGUACACAAAAGCGCAUGUGCUGUGAGCUCGAUGAGUAGGGCGGGACACGUGGUAUCCUGUCUGAAUAUGGGGGGACCAUCCUCCAAGGCUAAAUACUCCUGACUGACCGAUAGUGAACCAGUACCGUGAGGGAAAGGCGAAAAGAACCCCGGCGAGGGGAGUGAAAAAGAACCUGAAACCGUGUACGUACAAGCAGUGGGAGCACAGGUUUACCUGUGUGACUGCGUACCUUUUGUAUAA